rnacentral:rRNA from 1 species
GAUGAACGCUGGCGGCGUGCCUAAUACAUGCAAGUCGAGCGAACGGACGAGAAGCUUGCUUCUCUGAUGUUAGCGGCGGACGGGUGAGUAACACGUGGAUAACCUACCUAUAAGACUGGGAUAACUUCGGGAAACCGGAGCUAAUACCGGAUAAUAUUUUGAACCGCAUGGUUCAAAAGUGAAAGACGGUCUUGCUGUCACUUAUAGAUGGAUCCGCGCUGCAUUAGCUAGUUGGUAAGGUAACGGCUUACCAAGGCAACGAUGCAUAGCCGACCUGAGAGGGUGAUCGGCCACACGGGAACUGAGACACGGUCAAGACUCCUACGGGAGGCAGCAGUAGGGAAUCUUCCGCAAUGGGCGAAAGCCUGACGGAGCAACGCCGCGUGAGUGAUGAAGGUCUUCGGAUCGUAAAACUCUGUUAUUAGGGAAGAACAUAUGUGUAAGUAACUGUGCACAUCUUGACGGUACCUAAUCAGAAAGCCACGGCUAACUACGUG